ACUGUCUGUACUACUCCUUCGUCCCAUCCAAUUUUAAUCGUCUGUCUUAUUUUUUAAAAAAUGAAAAAUAUAAGUCACAUAUAAAGUAUGAUUUAUACUUUAUCAUCUCAUAACAACAAAAAUACUAAUUAUAAACAAAUUUUAAAUAAGACGAACGAUCAAAAUUGGACAUGGAAACUCAUAGUUGUGUUUAUA
rfam:Oryza meridionalis cultivar OR44 (W2112) chromosome 1, whole genome shotgun sequence.